rnacentral:tRNA from 1 species
GCCUUAUUAGCUUAAUUGGUAAAGCAUUUGCUUGAAGAGCAUUAGUUGCGAGUUCGAGUCUCUACUUAGGCA